UACAGAGGGUGCAAGCGUUAAUCGGAAUUACUGGGCGUAAAGCGUGCGCAGGCGGUUUUGUAAGCCAGAUGUGAAAUCCCCGGGCUUAACCUGGGAAUGGCAUUUGGGACUGCAAGGCUCGAGUGCGGCAGAGGAGACUGGAAUUCCUGGUGUAGCAGUGAAAUGCGCAGAUAUCAGGAAGAACACCUAUGGCGAAGGCAGCACUCUGGGACGGUACUGACGCUGAGACGCGAAAGCGUGGGGAGCAAACAGG
rnacentral:rRNA from 1 species